CCAAAACAGAAGUAAGAAAAGCUUCAUAGAUUUCAACACAUGAACACAUUGGAUUGCAGUCUUGUAUUCUUCAUUACAUGUGAAGAACUCCAAAAUAGAAAACCAUCGAUGUAAUCAUAGAAUACCUUCUCCAAAUAGCAAAACCAUAAAGCCAUAAGAAAAUCUUCCUCACAUAUCAAUCAAUUCCAUAAGCAAGGUCUAAUCACCUUGUUUGUUGCUUUUCUCCACUUUGUCUUCUCCACCUGUAUUAGUCAUACCACACAAUAUAAUUUUAGGGCAAACGAGAACCUAACUACUGAAAAUCAAUUUGUAAGGUAGGUUGAUAGAAUUAGUGAAUUGAUUGUACACAACACCAUAUACAAUUCAAACAUUCAAGAAUUAAAGCACUACGAGAAUUUCAAGAAUUAAGAGUUGGUUAUAGUUGUUACUUUAUUUUCACCAUCAUAAAAAAUAACCAUUGCCAAAGAAUGCUUCAAACACUUUGGAUCUUCUAACUCUUUUAAUUCGUUAAUAUAUAUUUAUCACAAAGGUAAGUUAAAUAGUAGUUAAAAAGAGUACUCAGAUGUAUACACUAUGACAAAGAAAUUAACAAUGAGAUGCAUAAUUACAUCAAUAUGUUUUUUUUGAAUGUUGUGAUAGUUAGUUUCAUGGGAUCCGACUCAUAAUAAUUCAUUGGUGGAGCUUGUUGAACAAUUGAAUUAGAUGUACCCUCUUAUGGAUCCACCAACUUGUUGAUAAUUAUGAUCUACUUCAUUUGCCAACAAGGGGAGCUACUUUCACUUGGGACAAUAGAAGAAAUGGAAGAAGACACUCUAAAAGAAGUCGGAAUCGUCCUAUUUGCAACCAGCUUGUUGGAUCCAUAAACCACCGACAUCAGUUCAUUGGUGAAAUCCAUUGAAAUAUACUCACAAGAUAGCGAAAUCCUAAGAUAAUAAAAUAUCAGAGUAUUAGAGAAAGAGAGAUAGAUCAAAAUUGAAGUUGUACAUAAGCAACAAACACAUGUAUAUAUAGUCCAAAAAUCAAUGCUAACGUUAUGCAUACACAUCCAUAUUUAAUAGGGAUACACUAACUAGUAAAAGUACACCCCUAUUAAAUAUUGAUGUUUAUGCACAAUAUUAACUUUGAUUUUUGGGCCAUAAAUACUUGUGUUUGUUGCUUAUGUACAUUGUCAAUUCUGAUCUAUCUCUCUUUUUCUCACACCCUAAUAUUUUAUCAUCUUAGGAUUUCAUUAUGCUUGUGAGUAUAUUUCAAUGGAUUUCACCAAUGAACUUAUGUCGGUGGUUUAUGGAUCCAACAAGUUGGUUGCAAAUAACACGAUUCAAGCUUCUUUUAGUGUGUCUCCUUCCACUUCUUAUCUUGUCUCAGGUGAAAGUAGCCCCCCUUUGUUAGCAGAUGAAAUAGAUCAUAACUACCAACAAGUUGGUGGUACCAGAAGAUGGUACAUAUAAUUCAGUUGUUCAACAAGCUCCACAAAUAAAUUAUUAUGAGUCAGAUAAAAAAAACCGAUGGAUGUAAGUAUGUAUCUCAUUGUUAAUUUCUUUGUCAUAUUGUGUACAACUAGAAUACUUUUUUUUUUAACUAAUAUUUAACUUAUCUUUGUAACAGAUAUAUAUUAACAAAUUAAAAGAGUUGGAAGAGCAAAGGAUUUAAAUCAUUCUUUGGCAAUUUUUAUUUUUUAUGAUGGUUAAAAUAAAGUAAAAACUAUAGCCAUCUUUUAAUUCUUGAAAUUCUCUUAGUGAUUUAAUUCUUGAAUGUUUUAAUUGUAUAUGGUGCUAUGUAUAAUGAAUUCACUAAUUCUAACAACCUACAUUACAAAUUGAUUUUCAGUUAUGUUUCCUUUUUUCCUAAAAUUAUAAUGUGUGGUAUGACUUAUAUAGAUGGAGAAGAGCAAAAUUAUUGGACCUUUCUCAUUACUUCUUUUAUGAAAUUACAUAUUGGAUAUUGUUUGAUGAUCGUAGUUAGCGGUUGUUGAUGACGAUGAAAGAUAAACUAUAUAUCAAAAUUUGAUAGGAUUGUACAAAAGAAACAUAGAUAUUUUAUAUUAAGGGAUUAAAAAAUUAUCUACCUCCAAUAUCCGAUUAUUGCAAAUUAUCGUUGUCGUC
rnacentral:lncRNA from 1 species